UAUUAUGGCCAUACCACCCUGAACACACGCAAUCUUGCCUGAUCUUGAAAGCUAAGCAGGGUUAGGCCUGGUUAGUACUUGAAUAGGAGACUGUCUGGGAAUACCAAGUACUAUGGGCU
ensembl:rRNA 5S_rRNA 5S ribosomal RNA